GAUGAACGCUGGCGGCGUGCCUAAUACAUGCAAGUCGAACGCGCAGCGAAAGGUGCUUGCACCUUUCAAGCGAGUGGCGAACGGGUGAGUAACACGUGGAUAACCUGCCUCAAGGCUGGGGAUAACAUUUGGAAACAGAUGCUAAUACCGAAUAAAACUUAGUAUCGCAUGAUACAAAGUUGAAAGGCGCUACGGCGUCACCUAGAGAUGGGUCCGCGGUGCAUUAGUUAGUUGGUGGGGUAAAGGCCUACCAAGACAAUGAUGCAUAGCCGAGUUGAGAGACUGAUCGGCCACAUUGGGACUGAGACACGGCCCAAACUCCUACGGGAGGCUGCAGUAGGGAAUCUUCCACAAUGGGCGAAAGCCUGAUGGAGCAACGCCGCGUGUGUGAUGAAGGCUUUAGGGUCGUAAAGCACUGUUGUAUGGGAAGAAAUGCUAGAAUAGGGAAUGAUUCUAGUUCGACGGUACCAUACCAGAAAGGGACGGCUAAAUAC
rnacentral:rRNA from 1 species